GCCUGGGUGGCUCAGUUGGUUGAGCAUCCAACUUCUGCUCAGGUCAUGAUCUCACGGUUUGUGGGUUCAAGCCCCACAUCAGGCU
rnacentral:tRNA from 1 species